rnacentral:rRNA from 1 species
CCUACGGGUGACAGCAGUGGGGAAUAUUGCACAAUGGGGGGAACCCUGAUGCAGUGACGCCGCGUGAGUGAAGAAGUAUUUCGGUAUGUAAAGCUCUAUCAGCAGGAACGAGACAAGACGGUACCUGCCUAAGAAGCCCCGGCUAACUACGUGCCCGCAGCCGCGGUAAUACGUAGGUGGCAAGCGUUGUCCGGAUUUACUGGGUGGAAAGGGCGUGCAGCCGGGAAGACAAGUCAGAUGUGAAAUCCCGCGGCUUAACCGCGGAACUGCAUUUGAAACUGUUUUUCUUGAGUACCGGAGAGGUCAUCGGAAUGCCUGGUGUAGCGGUGAAAUGCGUAGAUAUAAGGAAGAACACCAGUGGCGAAGGCAGAUGACUGGACGGCAACUGACGGUGAGGCGCGAAAGCGUGGGGAGCAAACAGGAUUAGAUACCCCAGUAGUC